rnacentral:rRNA from 1 species
UCCAGACUCCUACGGGAGGCAGCAGUCGAGAAUCAUUCACAAUGGGGGAAACCCUGAUGCAGCGACGCCACGUGAAGGACGAAGUAUUUCGGUACGUAAACUUCUAUCAGCAGGGAAGAAAAUGACGGUACCUGGCCAAGAAGCCCCGGCUAACUACGUGCCAGCAGCCGCGGUCAUACGUAGGAUCCGAGCAUUAUCCGGAGUGACUGGGUGUAAAGAGUUGCGUAGGUGGCAUAAUAAGUAGCUAGUGAAAUCUGGUGGCUCAACCAUUCAGACUAUUAGCUAAACUGUUAAGCUCGAGACCGUUAGGGGUAACUGGAAUUUCUAGUGUAGGAGUGAAAUCCGUAGAUAUUAGAAGGAACACCGAUAGCGUAGGCAGGUUACUGGGACGGUUCUGACACUAAGGCACGAAAGCGUAGGGAGCAAACGGGAUUAGAUACCCGUGUAU